GAGUUUGAUCGUGGCUCAGGACGAACGCUGGCGGCGUGCUUAACACAUGCAAGUCGAACGAGGAUCUGUGGAAAGAGGAUUCGUCCAAUUGAAGCAGAGGACAGUGGCGGACGGGUGAGUAACGCGUGAGGAACCUGCCUUUCAGAGGGGGACAACAGUUGGAAACGACUGCUAAUACCGCAUAACAUAUAGAUGUCGCAUGGCAUUUAUAUCAAAGAUUUAUCGCUGAAAGAUGGCCUCGCGUCUGAUUAGCUAG
rnacentral:rRNA from 1 species